ACAGGGAAAAGAAGCAGCAGUGGCAGCGCUUGUCUCGGUGGGGGUGGAGCUGCUCGGAAGAUGGAAGGGGACUGUCGACUUGCGGGACGAGCAGGCCGGCCCUUGUUCGCCCUAGAGACACUUCCGACGCCGCAAGCCAGGGCAGCUCGACCACAGAAGCCCGCAGGAGCAGUAAACCAUGGAGGAUUUGGAGGCUGCUCACGUUUGUAACAGUAAACCAUGGAGAAUAUGGGGGAUGCACGACCUUAGAGCAGCAAACCAUGUCAGGCAAGGAAGGAAGAUGCAUGAAGUUCCUGUUUUCUUGGGUGACCUCAGUUUCCUAAUGAUAUCUUCAUAGCAUACAGAUGGUUGCCAAUUAGCUUAUAUCAGUUUCCUAAUAAUAUCUUCAUAGCAUACUUUUUUGGGAUAAUGGUGACCAAAACGCCCCGGUUUCUCUAAUUUGUAGGAAUGAAAAUCUUGAAUUGCUUUUGAUGGAUUUCUCACUCAUCAAAAUAAAGCCACCAGCCUUCACAUAGAGGUUGAUUAAUCACUUUGGCCAGUCGUUCUGUUUUUCUAUGUUGCGGAAUAGGAAUGUCGUAUGAUCAUUUAUUUCCUCUGCGUCAUUUUAAGUUCUACAUCUUAUCUCUUAUUAUGAUAAAUCAUCAAUAUCAUACGUCUAUUACUCUUCCUGAUUCUACAUAUUGUUUUCAGUCAUAGAUUUAGAGUGUUUUUUUUCAUGUUCUUGCAAAGCAGAUGUGUUUAAAAAACUAUAGCUAUUUUACUGCUUUUCGGAUGCUAUGAAAUGCUUAUACUAAAUUUCACAAAUAUGUUCAUGUCUUUCUAUAUUUAUACAAUGUAUGUUGUGUUGCU